rnacentral:rRNA from 1 species
GUGCCAGCAGCCGCGGUAAUACGUAGGUGGCAAGCGUUGUCCGGAAUUAUUGGGCGUAAAGCGCGCGCAGGCGGUCUCUUAAGUCUGAUGUGAAAUCUCGGGGCUCAACCCCGAGCGGUCAUUGGAAACUGGGAGACUUGAGUACAGAAGAGGAGAGUGGAAUUCCACGUGUAGCGGUGAAAUGCGUAGAGAUGUGGAGGAACACCAGUGGCGAAGGCGACUCUCUGGUCUGUAACUGACGCUAGGGCGCGAAAGCGUGGGGAGCAAAACAGGAUUAGAUACCCUGGUAGUCC